CGAGUUUGAUUGUGUGUUUUGC
rnacentral:siRNA from 1 species